UACGUAUGGUGCAAGCGUUAUCCGGAUUUACUGGGUGUAAAGGGAGCGUAGGCGGCGCGUUAAGCCUGAUGUGAAAACCCGAGGCUCAACCACGGGAGUGCAUUGGAAACUGGCGUGCUGGAGUGCCGGAGAGGUAAGCGGAAUUCCUAGUGUAGCGGUGAAAUGCGUAGAUAUUAGGAGGAACACCAGUGGCGAAGGCGGCUUACUGGACGGCAACUGACGCUGAGGCUCGAAAGCGUGGGGAGCAAACAGG
rnacentral:rRNA from 1 species